AGAUACCCUGUUACACUAGACAAUAAUAAUGAAAUAUGGCUGGAGUAUUUAUAAUUAAUUUGUUUGAAAUUCAAAGAACCUGGCGGUACUUUAGUCUAGUUAGAGGAACCUGUUGUAUAAACGAUAAACCACGUAGAAUCUUUCUUAUUCUUGUAUAGUUAGUAUACCUUCAUUGUUAGAUAAUUUUAUAUAUGAAUUAUUGAAAUCGAGGAAAUCAAGUAUAUUAGAUCAAGGUGCUGCUAAUGAGUAAGUAUAAAUGGGUUACAAUAUUUUAAAAGAGGCCGAUUAUGUCGAGAAAUCCGGUAUAUGAGGAUGGAUUUAAUUGUAAGUUUAAAUUUAGUAAGGUAAAGUGAUAAUAGCUCUAAAGUGUGUACAU
rnacentral:rRNA from 1 species